rnacentral:rRNA from 1 species
AUUAAAAACCAAUGCCCUUCGGGGCUCUCUGGUGAUUCAUAAUAACUUCUCGAAUCGCACGGCCUUGCGCCGGCGAUGGUUCAUUCAAAUUUCUGCCCUAUCAACUUUCGACGGCUGGGUCUUGGCCAGCCGUGGUGACAACGGGUAACGGAGGGUUAGGGCUCGACCCCGGAGAAGGAGCCUGAGAAACGGCUACUACAUCCAGGGAAGGCAGCAGGCGCGCAAAUUACCCAAUCCCGACACGGGGAGGUAGUGACAAUAAAUACUGAUACAGGGCUCUUUCGGGUCUUGUAAUUGGAAUGAGUACAAUUUAAAUCCCUUAACGAGGAACAAUUGGAGGGCAAGUCUGGUGCCAGCAGCCGCGGUAAUUCCAGCUCCAAUAGCGUAUAUUAAAGUUGUUGAGGUUAAAAAGCUCGUAGUUGAACCUUGGGCCUAGCCGGCCGGUCCGCCUCACCGCGUGCACUGGCUCGGCUGGGUCUUUCCUUCUGGAGACCGCAUGCCCUUCACUGGGUGUGCC